UGCCAGCCGCCGCGGUAAUACGGAGGGUGCGAGCGUUGUUCGGAAUUACUGGGCGUAAAGAGCGUGUAGGCGGCUAACUAAGUCUGGUGUGAAAGCCCGGGGCUCACCCCCGGAAGUGCGCUGGAAACUGGUUAGCUAGAGUAUGGGAGAGGGAAGUGGAAUUCCUGGUGUAGCGGUGAAAUGCGUAGAUAUCAGGAGGAACACCGGCGGCGAAGGCGGCUUCCUGGACCAAUACUGACGCUGAGACGCGAAAGCGUGGGGAGCAAACAGGAUUAGAUA
rnacentral:rRNA from 1 species